AUCUUUGCGCUUGGGGCAAUGACGCAGCUAGUGAGGUUAUACCGAGGCGCGUCAAUUGCUGGUUGAAAACUAUUUCCAAACCCCCUCUGUGGCCUGGCCACAGAGAAUUUCUGGAAGGGCUCCCUUUAACUAGGGGAAAACC
rnacentral:snRNA from 2 species